CAACGGAAAAGCCCCAUGGGGAACCAACUGACUGGCGCUAGGACUCUAGGGACGUCAAUUAUAGUCGGACCAAUCAGUGCAACAGGUGAGGACAACGCGGAAGUGUUUCGGCUGUCUGAGAGACGAGCGCCUAAUGGGAGUGUGGACGACAUACUACGAAAUGGUUGAAGAUAGAAACCUUGUUCCUUGACAGUUUGGAUGUUUGACGUCCUUUCCGAACUAUCUGCGUUCCCUAGAAGAGGCUGAAAUGAUCCGUGUAGGAGACUGUGGCCAGCGCCGGCUACUGAGAGCCAGGUGUGUAGAGACGGUAGCCUGCUGAAGCGCCCCACACCGCGGCCACAGGAGGGAAUUUGACCGAAAUGUUCCUCACGGAGCAGAACAAGUGUGCAAAGCCACUUUCCAGUUCUUCGGGCUGCACCUUACGGAUGUCAUUUGUACCCAGGUGUAAGAUGGCCUUGUUAAUGUCCGGUCCGUUUCCGAAGAUCUCAUUGGUUUUAUCGGUUAUAUGGCGGACAGUGGUAUGACGAGUCAAUGCUGAACUUGUUUAAGUAUUCCUGAUGAUGGAGUCACCUAUGACCAGGGUUGUUUGUGGACUUUUUGGAGCUGGUCAUGUAAGAUCAGAUCAGGUGGGUCCGAGUCUCCGGCUCCGGGCAGGCAGGGGGACAGGUGAUGCUCCUCCUUCCCCUCAGCUGGAUGGACGCCGGUGAACGAAAAUCCAUGGUAUGGGACAGAUCUGGGGCUUGGAUUUGGCUCCAGUCCUGGGCCAGAGGGAUCCGGUCAGUUAAGGGACUCUGGUAGAACCUGGAGAUCCGACCUUCGUUCGGCGAUUUUUGUCCAGAGCAGUCCGGAGGAGAGAUUCCAAGGAAACAACUUUGUCUGCCUGUCCACCGCAUGAUGACAUAACCGAUUCAGCAGUGGAACUUUGAGCCUGUCUCUCUGAUGAUGCAGUCAUCCUGGAUGAGGAUUGCAGCCCUUCCAUAAUAUUAAAGAAGGUGGAUGAAGAUUCCAAACAUGUUUACUGGUUCAGCUGCUGCAGCCUGGACACCAGCUGUCACCUGACAACAGGUGUCACCAUUUCAUCCACAAUCACAGAGAGUCUUCGUCCACUGAGGAAGUUCUUUGAAACCAGGACUGAGGCCUCCAGGAAUCAUACUUCAACCAUUAAAUCACAGGGAGAAGAGACACAGAUGUGAAGACAUUUCCAGGUCUUCAGCUGCUGUCAUCUUCUCCUCCUGCAGAGACAAGUAAAGCAUCUUAAAGUAGCCAUCUUACCUUUGUUUUCCACAGACACACACUUGCACCUCUACACAGUGUUUGUAGGUUAGGUUGGAUUUUCAUUUUGGUUAUAUUGCUAUUUCAAACAGUGCAAUAUCAAUACUCUAAUCCAAUCUAUUACUGUGUACAUAGUCCUGUUUCACAUUUUUUAAAUCUUGUCUUGUUUAUAUCAGGCCUUUUUAUUCUUGCCAUUGCAACGCUGAAUUUCCCUGCUGUGAGACUGAAGGAUUACCUUACUCAAAUAAAUACUUCUGGACACUGAA